rnacentral:tRNA from 1 species
AUUUAUAUAGUAUAAAAAUUAUAUUUAACUUCCAAUUAAAUGAUCUAGAUUUCUAGUAUAAAUA